GACUUAUCUAGAGCGAUCGAGGGACUGGCCCUGUGACGUCGCGGCAACCUCCCUUCACGGGAAGGUGCCAAAUCCUGCGGAACGGUGACGUUCCGAAAGAUAAGGA
rnacentral:ncRNA from 2 species